rnacentral:rRNA from 1 species
UACGGAAGGGGCAAGCGUUGUUCGGAAUCAUUGGGCGUAAAGGGCGCGUAGGUGGUUCUGUAUGUCUACCGUGAAAGCGUACGGCUCAACCGUAUUUUGUCGGUAGAAACUGCAGGACUUGAGGCUGGGAGGGGCUGGUGGAAUUCCCUGUGUAGCGGUGAAAUGCGUAGAGAUGGGGGAGAACACUCGUGGAGAAGGCGGCCAGCUAGACCAGUCCUGACACUGAGGCGCGACAGCGUGGGGAGAAAACAGG